rnacentral:rRNA from 1 species
UUGAACGCUGGCGGCAUGCUUUACACAUGCCAGCCGAACGGUAACAGGCCGCAAGGUGCUGACGAGUGGCGAACGGGUGAGUAAUGCAUCGGAACGUGCCCAGUCGUGGGGGAUAACUACUCGAAAGAGUAGCUAAUACCGCAUACGAUCUAUGGAUGAAAGCGGGGGACCGUAAGGCCUCGCGCGAUUGGAGCGGCCGAUGUCAGAUUAGGUAGUUGGUGGGGUAAAGGCUCACCAAGCCAACGAUCUGUAGCUGGUCUGAGAGGACGACCAGCCACACUGGGACUGAGACACGGCCCAGACUCCUACGGGAGGCAGCAGUGGGGAAUUUUGGACAAUGGGCGCAAGCCUGAUCCAGCAAUGCCGCGUGCAGGAAGAAGGCCUUCGGGUUGUAAACUGCUUUUGUACGGAACGAAACGGCUCUGGUUAAUACCCGGGGCUAAUGACGGUACCGUAAGAAUAAGCACCGGCUAACUACGUG